GACGAACCGAGCGAACGUUGUUCGGAAUCACUGGGCUUAAAGGGCGCGUAGGCGGGCUGUCAAGUUUGGGGGUGAAAUCUCACGGCUCAACCGUGGAACUGCCUCAAAUACUGACGGUCUCGAGGGAGAUAGGGGCGAGCGGAACUAAUGGUGGAGCGGUGAAAUGCGUAGAUAUCGAGAGGAACACCUGCGGCGAAGGCGGGUUGCUGGGCUGACACUGACGCUGAAGUGCGAAAGCUAGGGGAGCGAACAGG
rnacentral:rRNA from 1 species